rnacentral:rRNA from 1 species
GAUGAACGCUGGCGGCGUGCCUAAUACAUGCAAGUCGAGCGAACAGACGAGGAGCUUGCUCCUCUGACGUUAGCGGCGGACGGGUGAGUAACACGUGGAUAACCUACCUAUAAGACUGGGAUAACUUCGGGAAACCGGAGCUAAUACCGGAUAAUAUAUUGAACCGCAUGGUUCAAUAGUGAAAGACGGUUUUGCUGUCACUUAUAGAUGGAUCCGCGCCGCAUUAGCUAGUUGGUAAGGUAACGGCUUACCAAGGCAACGAUGCGUAGCCGACCUGAGAGGGUGAUCGGCCACACUGGAACUGAGACACGGUCCAGACUCCUACGGGAGGCAGCAGUAGGGAAUCUUCCGCAAUGGGCGAAAGCCUGACGGAGCAACGCCGCGUGAGUGAUGAAGGUCUUCGGAUCUUAAAACUCUGUUAUUAGUGAAGAACAAAUGUGUAAGUAACUAUGCACGUCUUGACGGUACCUAAUCAGAAAGCCACGGCUAAGUACGUG